CCAACCGCCAUUGUUCGUGGCAGUUUGUGGCGUCCUGAAGCUGGAUUUGGCUUGAAAAUGUCGUUCCCUAAAGAAAAUAAGAAUAGGAUAGCUUACAAUAUGACAGGCAGCUUUGGUAAAUGGAAAAAAGGGAAACAAGAACUUGAAAGUGUCGUGCGUCUAACCAAAAUUUGAAGAAAAUUGAUCCAAAAAAUCAAGAGCCUGAUAAAAAGCGAGGACCCAUUGACAUCGUUUCUCAUAAAAAUUCAAGAUCUCGAUAGUAACAAAGUUGGUGUGGACAACAAUAGUUCUACCCAAAAAAUUUAUACCAGGGACCAUACUUCCAAUCCUGAAAGAACUGCAAGUUUGUCUAGCAGCUAAGCUCUCGUAAUU